rnacentral:lncRNA from 1 species
GAAGCGAUGUAAAGAAGCAAUUAAGGGAAGAGAAGGAGGGAAGUUGAUUAUCAUAGAUAUGGUGAUGGAGCAGAAGGAGAAAGAAGAUCAUGAGUCCAAUGAAACAGAGCUCUUGUUGGAUAUGCUGAUGAUGGUGUUGUAUAACAGUCAAGAGAGAAACGAGAAAGAAUGGGCUCAACUCUUUUAUGAUGCUGGUUUCAGUAAUUAUGAGAUAAUCCCCAUACUGGGUUUAAGAUCUAUCAUUGAAGUUUAUCCUUAAUUAAUCUCGUAAUGUACCAUGCAUGUACCUCCAUGCAUGCUAUCAAACUAUUAUAGGUUUUAAUCAAAAUAAUGUCUCACCUCUGCAUGUCACCAUUAUGUGUAAAAUGUGUGGUUAGUUUGGAAAGAUAAGGACUAAUAUCUUCCCAUGUUUUCAAUGGCAUCAAAUCUAUGAUGCGAAUGUACUAGUAAAAAAUAAAUUUCACAAACUCGUUUCCUUUUAUUUUAAUUAGAACCUUCAGAAUUUUUCUUUGAUUGGUCCUAGUUUUCUUUGGAUGAUAAAUCUGAUCUUUAUCAGUUUAUUGCGAUUGUACCUGCCCUUUUCGGACUGAGGUAACUCCUCCCUUAACUCAUCUGGAUAUGGAUUGUCUCUCCUCUCUCAUCUAGGUUGUAAAUAUUUUUUAUUAUUUUUUAGUUUUUGGAGAGCAGCACUUAAAAGAGAGAGAUUUCCUGUUGCUUGUCUUAGUUUAUUUGAUCGUCUUUUUUUAUUUUCUCUUUUUCACAUGUGCAGGUUUGGCCUUUAGGCCAUUGUUCUCUAAAGAAUCAUGAUGGUUGGAAGAUGUAAGUGCUGUGGAGCUGGGUUUAUGGUGCAACCUCCCUUUUCCACUCGCUAUUGUUCAAAAUCUAGAAGCUUCUUCUAUGCUUUUGGAGGUCGCGAUUGAGCUCAAUUGUGGAAGAUUGACCUUCCCUUUCUCAAGCGUCUGGCUCAUCGUCUCUCUCUAACUCGGUCUUAUAUGUUUUCCUUAUUGCCUGAUCGAGGUUUCCUUGUCAGUUUGAAAUUCUUUUUUAUCUCGUUGCUAUCUUAGUUUAGCUUUAUUCUUGGUUCUUCAUUGAAUUGUUUUGGCUCGUGCCUUUUAUUGGAAGAGUGAUGCUCUCCUGAAACUACGAUGCUAGUAAUGACAAUAAAAAAUCUCACAGAAGAGGAGUGGUAUAUUUGUUUUGUAUUAGUUUGAAUGGUACCACGAGUUGUCGGAUUAUGAAUUUUUAGAUUUAUGUGCUUAAUUAGGAUUUUAUCUCUUAGGCACUAGGAACCCUAAUAUUAUUGUAAUGUCUAUUUGCUACCUUGGGACUUGUUGCUAUAUUUUGGGCUUUUCUUAGCCAUUUCAAUGAAUUCAUCUACCUUAGGAAAAAAAAAAU